UACGUAGGGUGCGAGCGUUGUUCGGAAUUACUGGGCGUAAAGGGCGCGUAGGCGGCCUGCGCAAGUCAGUUGUGAAAUCUCCGGGCUUAACUCGGAACGGUCAACUGAUACUGCGCGGCUAGAGUGCAGAAGGGGCAACUGGAAUUCUCGGUGUAGCGGUGAAAUGCGUAGAUAUCGAGAGGAACACCUGCGGCGAAGGCGGGUUGCUGGGCUGACACUGACGCUGAUGCGCGAAAGCCAGGGGAGCGAACGGG
rnacentral:rRNA from 1 species